GGGGCUAUAGCUCAGUUGGUAGAGUGCUUGCCUUGCACAAGGCCAUGGGUUCAAUCCCCAACAUCCCCC
rnacentral:tRNA from 1 species